GAUGAACGCCGGCGGCGUGCCUAAUACAUGCAAGUCGAGCGAACAGACGAGGAGCUUGCUCCUCUGACGUUAGCGGCGGACGGGUGAGUAACACGUGGAUAACCUACCUAUAAGACUGGGAUAACUUCGGGAAACCGGAGCUAAUACCGGAUAAUAUAUUGAACCGCAUGGUUCAAUAGUGAAAGACGGUUUUGCUGUCACUUAUAGAUGGAUCCGCGCCGCAUUAGCUAGUUGGUAAGGUAACGGCUUACCAAGGCAACGAUGCGUAGCCGACCUGAGAGGGUGGUCGGCCACACUGGAACUGAGACACGGUCCAGACUCCUACGGGAGGCAGCAGUAGGGAAUCUUCCGCAAUGGGCGAAAGCCUGACGGAGCAACGCCGCGUGAGUGAUGAAGGUCUUCGGAUCGUAAAACUCUGUUAUUAGGGAAGAACAAAUGUGUAAGUAACUAUGCACGUCUUGACGGUACCUAAUCAGAAAGCCACGGCUAACUACGUG
rnacentral:rRNA from 1 species